GCAGUGGUGGUUCAGUGGUAGAAUUCUCUCUUUCCAUGAGGGAGACAUGAGUUCAACUCCCGGCCAAUGCA
rnacentral:tRNA from 1 species